GGUGGGGUGACCGAGUGGCCCAAGGUGGUUGCCUUGAGAGCAACUGGCGCUUCGCGCCUCAUGGGUUCAAAUCCCAUCCCCACCG
rnacentral:tRNA from 1 species